GGGGGUGACUGGUUUCGACAGGGUAGGUCUGAGGUGGGCAGCAAGCCGUGGUCUCCUCGCCACGUAAAACAGGGGUACCGUCAAAUUGAAUUGACGACAACUCUUAUCAGGGCUCUUACGCCCUCGCUGCUUAAUCUAAUUUAGCAGCCGUCAAACUGGGGGUCUCUCCCGCUCCCGGGGCGACGUCAUUUUAGGGAGACGCUCGCGCGGACGUGGUCGGUAUGCCGCGCGCUAAGCUCGAACCGGCUGGGGCGCCAAGCGCGAGUCGCUGGGCGUGAGGCGUCCGAGACCCAACAAGCGACUGAGCUUGGAGACACCUGCCAGGGGUUUGCCUUGGACCGGAGUUCGAUUCUCCGCACCUCCACCA
rnacentral:tmRNA from 1 species